AUACAUGCAAGUCGAACGCUUCUUUUUCCACCGGAGCUUGCUCCACCGGAAAAAGAGGAGUGGCGAACGGGUGAGUAACACGUGGGUAACCUGCCCAUCAGAAGGGGAUAACCACUUGGAAACAGGUGCUAAUACCGUAUAACAAUCAAAACCGCAUGGUUUUGAUUUGAAAGGCGCUUUCGGGUGUCGCUGAUGGAUGGACCCGCGGUGCAUUAGCUAGUUGGUGAGGUAACGGCUCACCAAGGCCACGAUGCAUAGCCGACCUGAGAGGGUGAUCGGCCACAUUGGGACUGAGACACGGCCCAAACUCCUACGGGAGGCAGCAGUAGGGAAUCUUCGGCAAUGGACGAAAGUCUGACCGAGCAACGCCGCGUGAGUGAAGAAGGUUUUCGGAUCGUAAAACUCUGUUGUUAGAGAAGAACAAGGAUGAGAGUAACUGUUCAUCCCUUGACGGUAUCUAACCAGAAAGCCACGGCUAACUACGUGCCAGCAGCCGCGGUAAUACGUAGGUGGCAAGCGUUGUCCGGAUUUAUUGGGCGUAAAGCGAGCGCAGGCGGUUUCUUAAGUCUGAUGUGAAAGCCCCCGGCUCAACCGGGGAGGGUCAUUGGAAACUGGGAGACUUGAGUGCAGAAGAGGAGAGUGGAAUUCCAUGUGUAGCGGUGAAAUGCGUAGAUAUAUGGAGGAACACCAGUGGCGAAGGCGGCUCUCUGGUCUGUAACUGACGCUGAGGCUCGAAAGCGUG
rnacentral:rRNA from 1 species